CAGCAGCCACGGUAAUACGAAGGGGGCUAGCGUUGCUGGGAAUCACUGGGCGUAAAGGGUGCGUAGGCGGGUCCUUAAGUCAGGGGUGAAAUCCUGGAGCUCAACUCCAGAACUGCCUUUGAUACUGAAGAUCUUGAGUUCGGGAGAGGUGAGUGGAACUGCGAGUGUAGAGGUGAAAUUCGUAGUUAUUCGCAAGAACACCAGUGGCGAAGGCGGCUCACUGGCCCGAUACUGACGCUGAGGCACGAAAGCGUGGGGAGCAAACAGGACUAGAUACCCGCGUAGUCCCUGUCUCUUAUAC
rnacentral:rRNA from 1 species